AAAUAGCCGCCGGAUGAUCGGGUAUCAUUGAUGUUGAUAGAUAUGUUAAUUUUUUUAACGCUAUUUU
rnacentral:tRNA from 1 species